rnacentral:rRNA from 1 species
GCAGCCGCGGUAAUUCCAGCUCCAAUAGCGUAUAUUUAAGUUGUUGCAGUUAAAAAGCUCGUAGUUGGAUUUCGGGUGGGUUCCAGCGGUCUGCCUCUGGUAUGUACUGCUGUGGCCUACCUUUCUGCCGGGGACGUGUUCCUGGGCUUCAUUGUCCGGGACUCGAAUUCGGCGAGGAUACUUUGAGUAAAACAGCGUGUUCAAAGCAAGCCUACGCUCUGAAUGCAUUAGCAUGGAAUAUCACGAUAGGACUCUGGCCUAUCUUGUUGGUCUGUAGGACCGGAGUAAUGAUUAAGAGGGACAGUCGGGGGCAUUCGUAUUUCAUUGUCAGAGGUGAAAUUCUUGGAUUUAUGAAAGACGAACUUCUGCGAAAGCAUUUGCCAAGGAUGUUUUCAUUAAUCAAGAACGAAAGUUGGGGGCUCGAAGACGAUUAGAUACCGUCGUAGUCUCAACCAUAAACGAUGCCGACUAGGGAUUGGCAGGUGUUUUAUUGAUGACCCUGCCAGCACCUUAUGAGAAAUCAAAGUUUUUGGGU